UACAGAGGGUGCGAGCGUUGUCCGGAAUCACUGGGCGUAAAGGGCGCGUAGGUGGCUGGGUAAGCGUGCGGUGAAAGCCUGGAGCUCAACUCCAGGUCGGCCGUGCGUACUGCCUGGCUUGAGCACGGUAGAGGCCGAUGGAAUUCCGGGUGUAGCGGUGGAAUGCGUAGAGAUCCGGAAGAACACCCGUGGCGAAGGCGGCUCUCUGGGACGGUACUGACGCUGAGACGCGAAAGCGUGGGGAGCGAACAGG
rnacentral:rRNA from 1 species